rnacentral:rRNA from 1 species
GAUGAACGCUGGCGGCGUGCCUAAUACAUGCAAGUCGAGCGAACAGAUGAGGAGCUUGCUCCUCUGACGUUAGCGGCGGACGGGUGAGUAACACGUGGGUAACCUACCUAUAAGACUGGGAUAACUUCGGGAAACCGGAGCUAAUACCGGAUAAUAUAUAGAACCGCAUGGUUCUAUAGUGAAAGACGGUUUUGCUGUCACUUAUAGAUGGAUCCGCGCCGCAUUAGCUAGUUGGUAAGGUAACGGCUUACCAAGGCAACGAUGCGUAGCCGACCUGAGAGGGUGAUCGGCCACACUGGAACUGAGACACGGUCCAGACUCCUACGGGAGGCAGCAGUAGGGAAUCUUCCGCAAUGGGCGAAAGCCUGACGGAGCAACGCCGCGUGAGUGAUGAAGGUCUUCGGAUCGUAAAACUCUGUUAUUAGGGAAGAACAAAUGUGUAAGUAACUAUGCACGUCUUGACGGUACCUAAUCAGAAAGCCACGGCUAACUACGUG